CAGUAGCCGCGGGAAUACGAAGGGUGCAAGCGUUAAUCGGAAUUACUGGGCGUAAAGCGUGCGUAGGCGGUUUGUUAAGUCUGUUGUGUAAUCCCCGGGCUCAACCUGGGAAUGGCAAUGGAUACUGGCAAGCUAGAGUGUGUCAGAGGAUGGUGGAAUUCCCGGUGUAGCGGUGAAAUGCGUAGAGAUCGGGAGGAACAUCAGUGGCGAAGGCGGCCAUCUGGGACAACACUGACGCUGAGGCACGAAAGCGUGGGGAGCAAACAGGAUUAGAUACCCGCGUAGUCCCUGUCUCUUAUAA
rnacentral:rRNA from 1 species